rnacentral:rRNA from 1 species
UACAGAGGGGGCAAGCGUUGUUCGGAAUUACUGGGCGUAAAGGGCGCGUAGGCGGCCUUCUAAGUCGAACGUGAAAUCCCUGGGCUCAACCCAGGAACUGCGUCCGAGACUGGAAGGCUCGAAUCCGGGAGAGGGAUGUGGAAUUCCAGGUGUAGCGGUGAAAUGCGUAGAUAUCUGGAGGAACAUCGGUGGCGAAGGCGGCAUCCUGGACCGGUAUUGACGCUGAGGCGCGAAAGCCAGGGGAGCAAACGGG